GUGGGGAAUCUUCCGCAAUGGACGAAAGUCUGACGGAGCAACGCCGCGUGAGUGAUGAAGGUCUUCGGAUUGUAAAGCUCUGUUAAUCGGGACGAAAGAGCCUAGUGUGAAUAAUGCUAGGAAGUGACGGUACCGGAAUAGAAAGCCACGGCUAACUACGUGCCAGCAGCCGCGGUAAUACGUAGGUGGCAAGCGUUGCCCGGAAUUAUUGGGCGUAAAGCGCGCGCAGGCGGAUCUGCCAGUCUGUCUUAAAAGUUCGGGGCUUAACCCCGUGAUGGGAUGGAAACUACAGAUCUAGAGUAUCGGAGAGGAAAGUGGAAUUCCUAGUGUAGCGGUGAAAUGCGUAGAUAUUAGGAAGAACACCAGUGGCGAAGGCGACUUUCUGGACGAAAACUGACGCUGAGGCGCGAAAGCCAGGGGAGCGAACGGGAUUAGAAACCCCUGUAGUCC
rnacentral:rRNA from 1 species